UUUAACAUGAGAGUUUGAUCCUGGCUCAGGAUGAACGCUGGCGGCGUGCCUAACACAUGCAAGUCGAACGAAGCGAUUUGGAAGAAGUUUUCGGAUGGAAUCUGAAUUGAC
rnacentral:rRNA from 1 species